GAUGAACGCUGGCGGCGUGCCUAAUACAUGCAAGUCGAGCGAACGGACGAGAAGCUUGCUUCUCUGAUGUUAGCGGCGGACGGGUGUGUAACACGUGGAUAACCUACCUAUAAGACUGGGAUAACUUCGGGAAACCGGAGCUAAUACCGGAUAAUAUUUUGAACCGCAUGGUUCAAAAGUGAAAGACGGUCUUGCUGUCACUUAUAGAUGGAUACGCGCUGCAUUAGCUAGUUGGUAAGGUAACGGCUUACCAAGGCAACGAUGCAUAGCCGACCUGAGAGGGUGAUCGGCCACACUGGAACUGAGACACGGUCCAGACUCCUACGGGAGGCAGCAGUAGGGAAUCUUCCGCAAUGGGCGAAAGCCUGACGGAGCAACGCCGCGUGAGUGAUGAAGGUCUUCGGAUCGUAAAACUCUGUUAUUAGGGAAGAACAUAUGUGUAAGUAACUGUGCACAUCUUGACGGUACCUAAUCAGAAAGCCACGGCUAACUACGUG
rnacentral:rRNA from 1 species